CUUCCAGCUGGACCAGACCAAGCGGCGCCACAGUUUGAAGCUCUGGGUGAUCGACAUGAUCUGCCUGCCAAAUAUCAAUCUGUUGGCCAUUUCAACAACCGACCAGGAUAUUGAGUUUUUUGAUAUCAGUGGCAACAAAUGCGACCGGCUAUUUACCAUUGUUGACUUGGAGGGAUGCGCUACAGCCAUGGACUACUGGACAGAUGGACACAGAGGCGUGUUCUGCGUUGGUGACAUCAAAGGCAACAUCCUAAUCUUCACGUCGACAGAUGUGAUGAUGAACGGGCUUUUCAAUGUCCGCGGCUAUAUCGGUAAACUCAUAGGAAGAAGGGUCUAGAAAAGCUGACCAUUUGGUUACAGGAGAUUGAACCCCAUAUUAUCAAUGGCCCAAUCUAUCAUGCCUCGGUGUGCUCCAAUUCAUUGGAUGAAGGAAUGUCCCAUAACUACAGUAGAGUCUCACUUAUCCAAGCUAAACGGGCCGGUAAAAGCUUGGAUAAGCUAAUAACUUGGACAAUAAGGAGGCAUUAAGGAAAAGCCUAUUAAACAUCAAAUUAGGUUAUGAUUUUACAAAUUAAGCACCAAAACAUCAUGUUAUACAACAAAUUUGACAGAAAAAGUAGUUCAAUACGC
rnacentral:lncRNA from 11 species